GACAGAGGGUGCAAACGUUGUUCGGAAUUACUGGGCGUAAAGGGCUCGUAGGUGGCCAACUAAGUCAGACGUGAAAUCCCUCAGCUUAACUGGGGAACUGCGUCUGAUACUGGAUGGCUUGAGUUCGGGAGAGGGAUGCGGAAUUCCAGGUGUAGCGGUGAAAUGCGUAGAUAUCUGGAGGAACACCGGUGGCGAAGGCGGCAUCCUGGACCGACACUGACACUGAGGAGCGAAAGCCAGGGGAGCAAACGGG
rnacentral:rRNA from 1 species